AUUGUUUCUAAACAGAAGAUACAUGGUUAUUUGGAUUAGUAACUUGAGUGGUUAUCAUUUUUAAAGAAUCAGUCCUUUAUGUCUGUAGACCACUUUAUAGAGUUUUUUUCCCCUACCCUUGUUGAUUUUAUUUUUCUGAGUAUGUAAACUAUUAAGUUAUACCAGAAAUGGUGAUUUUAAGUGAUUCCAACAUGAAGACUAAAGCAUGGGUGUGCUUCUCUGAGGUGAGAAUUCUGAAUCCUUCAAUCCCUGAUGACUUUCUUGGUUCCAGACUCUUAGCUCCAAAGGUCUGUAAGCCCUGCUUGAUUGUAUCAUUUUAAGCUCAACUUAACCUACAUGUGACUAUCAUCCACUUUUCCCAUUUCUGCCAGUCACCCCACCAUUCUGGAUAGACAGGUUUAUGCCCCUAGUUAUUUUUCUUGAGCAUCUUCCCUCUGUUGGGGGAAUGGAAAUCUCCCACUCUAGUUGGGUUCCGAGUUCUUUUACAACAGUCUUCCCCCUCCUCUCGCCCAUCUCUGUGGCCUCCUGCUAAGCCAGAAAUCCAUGUCCAGAUCUUGUUGCAUUUCUAGCACUUCUAAUGGAUAGCACCCUGCUCUCCAGAGUCUGCAGCCCACACAGAAGGUUCUGGUAUGUCCCUGUCCUGCCUCUAGUGAGUUUUGAGAAUACUGUCUUGCUUCAAGUAGCUCCAAUCUGCUCACGCUCAAGGGCCUGACUUUCCCAUUAGUUCAUCUCAACUUGUAUUGAGAUGAUUCUGUCAUAACAUGUAUUUUUUAAAGCAGCUUAUGGUGUAUUCCUCACCCUCCUUUCCUUUUUAGACCUGAAACAGUUUUGUCUUCCAAGCUAGGUGAUAAGUUCCUAGUGGGUAGAGAUGUUUGGCCAGGGGUCCUUUGUACUUCUCUUUGGCAUCAGCAGAAAGAUUAAGCUAUGGGAGCUGGGAAAGGAGUGGUGGCAGAUUCCUGGGUUUUUAGAGGCCUCCUGGCUAAGGAAGAAUCAUAUAGGUUGGCCUGUGUGUGGCUCAAUAGUUUGAAGUUGCCUG
rnacentral:lncRNA from 1 species